rnacentral:rRNA from 1 species
UACGUAGGGUCCAAGCGUUAAUCGGAAUUACUGGGCGUAAAGCGUGCGCAGGCGGUUAUGUAAGACAGGUGUGAAAUCCCAGGGCUUAACCUUGGAACUGCAUUUGUGACUGCAUAGCUAGAGUACGGUAGAGGGGGAUGGAAUUCCGCGUGUAGCAGUGAAAUGCGUAGAUAUGCGGAGGAACACCGAUGGCGAAGGCAAUCCCCUGGACCUGUACUGACGCUCAUGCACGAAAGCGUGGGGAGCAAACAGG